GACUGGACAAGCUGAGGAA
rnacentral:miRNA from 1 species